ACGGCAGCACAGAGAGCUUGCUCUCGGGUGACGAGUGGCGGACGGGUGAGUAAUGUCUGGGAAACUGCCCGAUGGAGGGGGAUAACUACUGGAAACGGUAGCUAAUACCGCAUAACGUCGCAAGACCAAAGUGGGGGACCUUCGGGCCUCUCACCAUCGGAUGUGCCCAGAUGGGAUUAGCUAGUAGGUGGGGUAACGGCUCACCUAGGCGACGAUCCCUAGCUGGUCUGAGAGGAUGACCAGCCACACUGGAACUGAGACACGGUCCACACUCCUACGGGAGGCAGCAGUGGGGAAUAUUGCACAAUGGGCGCAGCCUGAUGCAGCCAUGCCGCGUGUAUGAAGAAAGCCUCGGGUUGUAAAGUACUUUCAUCGAGGAGGAAAGCGUUGUGGUUAAUACCCCCAGCGAUUGACGUUACUCGCAAAAGAAGCAC
rnacentral:rRNA from 1 species